CACGCUGUAAACGAUGAAUACUAGGUGUGGGAGGACUGACCCCUUCCGUGCCGCAGUUAACACAAUAAGUAUUCCACCUGGGGAGUACGACCGCAAGGUUGAAACUCAAAGGAAUUGACGGGGGCCCGCACAAGCAGUGGAUUAUGUGGUUUAAUUCGACGCAACGCGAAGAACCUUACCAGGAUUUGACAUCCAACUAACGAAGUAGAGAUACAUUAGGUGCCCUUCGGGGAAAGUUGAGACAGGUGGUGCAUGGUUGUCGUCAGCUCGUGUCGUGAGAUGUUGGGUUAAGUCCCGCAACGAGCGCAACCCCUAUUGUUAGUUGCUACGCAAGAGCACUCUAGCGAGACUGCCGUUGACAAAACGGAGGAAGGCGGGGACGACGUCAAAUCAUCAUGCCCUUUAUGUCCUGGGCUACACACGUAAUACAAUGGCCGUCAACAGAGGGAAGCAAUACCGCGAGGUGGAGCAAAUCCCUAAAAACGGUCUCAGUUCGGAUUGCAGGCUGCAACUCGCCUGCAUGAAGCUGGAAUUGCUAGUAUCGCGAUC
rnacentral:rRNA from 1 species